GGGUGAGUAAUGCCUAGGAAUCUGCCUGGUAGUGGGGGAUAACGUCCGGAAACGGACGCUAAUACCGCAUACGUCCUACGGGAGAAAGCAGGGGACCUUCGGGCCUUGCGCUAUCAGAUGAGCCUAGGUCGGAUUAGCUAGUUGGUGGGGUAAUGGCUCACCAAGGCGACGAUCCGUAACUGGUCUGAGAGGAUGAUCAGUCACACUGGAACUGAGACACGGUCCAGACUCCUACGGGAGGCAGCAGUGGGGAAUAUUGGACAAUGGGCGAAAGCCUGAUCCAGCCAUGCCGCGUGUGUGAAGAAGGUCUUCGGAUUGUAAAGCACUUUAAGUUGGGAGGAAGGGCAGUAAAUUAAUACUUUGCUGUUUUGACGUUACCGACAGAAUAAGCACCGGCUAACUCUGUGCCAGCAGCCGCGGUAAUACAGAGGGUGCAAGCGUUAAUCGGAAUUACUGGGCGUAAAGCGCGCGUAGGUGGUUCGUUAAGUUGGAUGUGAAAUCCCCGGGCUCAACCUGGGAACUGCAUUCAAAACUGACGAGCUAGAGUAUGGUAGAGGGUGGUGGAAUUUCCUGUGUAGCGGUGAAAUGCGUAGAUAUAGGAAGGAACACCAGUGGGCGAAGGCGACCACCUGGGACUGAUACUGACACUGAGGUGCGGAAAGCGUG
rnacentral:rRNA from 1 species